rnacentral:rRNA from 1 species
GACGAACCGUGCGAACGUUAUUCGGAAUCACUGGGCUUAAAGCGCGUGUAGGCGGUCCGGCACGUCGAUGUUAAAAGCCCCCGGCUCAACCGGGGAACCGGCGUCGAUACGACCGGACUGGAGGGAGGUAGGGGAACCGGGAACUUCCGGUGGAGCGGUGAAAUGCGUUGAGAUCGGAAGGAACGCCCGCGGCGAAAGCGCGGUUCUGGACCUUUCCUGACGCUGAGACGCGAAAGCUAGGGGAGCAAACGGG